UACGGAGGAGGCAAGCGUUAUCCGGAAUUAUUGGGCGUAAAGCGUCCGCAGGUGGUUGGUCAAGUCAGCUGUUAAAGCGUGGGGCUUAACUCCAUACCGGCAGUUGAAACUGACUAGCUAGAGUGCGAUAGGGGCAAGGGGAAUUCCCAGUGUAGCGGUGAAAUGCGUAGAUAUUGGGAAGAACACCGGUGGCGAAAGCGCCUUGCUGGGUCUGCACUGACACUGAGGGACGAAAGCUAGGGGAGCGAAAGGG
rnacentral:rRNA from 1 species